CUUAUAUAGACCAUUGAUAGCAAGAUCUUCUGGGUUCGAUAAAAAUCUGCCAGAGGAUCAAAGAAGUAAUUUUGUCUUAAAGCAAAAAUAAUAAAAUAAUAUUAUAUAUUAUUAUUAUAAGGUGAUGUUCCACUAAACUUCAGCCAGUAGAUCGAUACACAUGUUCCAUUAAAAAGAUGGGUUCCACUCAAACUCUCUCAUCGCUCUUCUAGUCCUAUACUGCUGACGAGAUUGGGACAUACA
rnacentral:lncRNA from 1 species